GAGUUUGAUCAUGGCUCAGAUUGAACGCUGGCGGCAUGCCUAACACAUGCAAGUCGAACGAGGGUAGCAAUACCUUAGUGGCGGACGGGUGAGGAAUACGUAGGAAUUUGCCCUUAAGUGGGGGAUAGCCCGGGGAAACCCGGAUUAAUACCGCAUGAUCUCGAAAGAGCAAAGUGGGGGAUCGCAAGACCUCACGCUUUUGGAGAAGCCUACGUCGGAUUAGCUAGUUGGUGAGGUAAUGGCUCACCAAGGCGACGAUCCGUAACUGGUCUGAGAGGAUGAUCAGUCACACCGGAACUGAGACACGGUCCGGACUCCUACGGGAGGCAGCAGUGGGGAAUAUUGGACAAUGGGCGAAAGCCUGAUCCAGCAAUGCCGCGUGUGUGAAGAAGGCCUUCGGGUUGUAAAGCACUUUAAGUUGGGAAGAAAAAACUCGCUCUAACACAGUGAGUCUUGACGGUACCGACAGAAUAAGCACCGGCUAACUCUGUGCCAGCAGCCGCGGUAAUACG
rnacentral:rRNA from 1 species